GUAUUUCUUCUUCAGUGCCAGUGCUCCCAGAGUGUGCAACGUGUAACUGUCCGACAGAUGCUCCCAGUUCUGCUCCCAGCACUUCCAGCCCUUAAAGCAACAUUGUCUACAACUAAGCCUACUUCAAGAGCCGUAGCCUACUGUAUGCAAUAGUGACCGAGCAAUAGUCCAUCGCAAUCCCGUUUGCAUAUCAUUGAGUGAACAGAUUUCGAACUACAAUGAUGAUGAAUUAUUUUGUUUUAUAUGAACCAGUGAAACUUCUUGGCUAUUAAUAUACCGUACGACGAUAACACACGCACAUGUUAGUCCUGGUUGGUCUAAUAUUGGGCACCUUGUUGCUUUUAUAUUGAAUACAUUUUAGCAGAUUGCUGUGAAAACAUUCUAAUACUUUUUUCAUCUUUUAAAAACUGUUCUUCUAUUUCUUCAAAUAAAAUAUUUAACAACUUUA